rnacentral:rRNA from 1 species
UACGUAGGGGGCAAGCGUUGUCCGGAUUUAUUGGGCGUAAAGAGCGUGUAGGCGGUUCGGUAGGUCCGUUGUGAAAACUCGAGCUCAACCUCGAGACGCCGAUGGAAACCCCCGAACUAGAGUCCGGAAGAGGAGAGUGGAAUUCCUGGUGUAGCGGUGAAAUGCGCAGAUAUCAGGAAGAACACCCGUGGCUAAGGCGGUUCUCUGGGCCUUACCUGACGCUGAGGAGCGAAAGCGUGGGGAGCGAACAGG